rnacentral:rRNA from 1 species
ACGUAGGUGGCAAGCGUUGUCCGGAAUUAUUGGGCGUAAAGCGCGCGCAGGUGGGCUCUUAAGUCCAUUUUGAAAGUUCGGAGCUCAACUCCGUGAUGGGAUGGAAACUGGGCUUCUUGAGUAUCGGAGAGGAAAGCGGAAUUUCCCGUGUAGCGGUGAAAGGCGUAGAUAUGGGGAGGAACACCAGUGGCGAAGGCAGCUUUCUGGACGAUGUCUGACUCUGAGGCGCGAAAGCCAGGGGAGCGAACGG